AAAGCAGGUGACAACUCUUCAUUUCAUGGAAGAAUUGCUUCUAACCUGCUAAAGAGGAGCCAUAUUGAUGGCCUCUGGUUUUGACCUGUAUGAGGAUAAAAAUGACAGCUGGACAAGGACAGCU
ensembl:snoRNA